CUCCCUCCCACUCAGGUCCGCAGGUCACCUCAGCGGCGGGCUCAGCCGCCUCGGCGUCUUUCCCACCUGGCGGGGGCUACUCCGGGAGCGAAUCCUCCGUCACCUCAGUCCGGGUUUAGUCCUGCCCGUUCGCCCCGCGGCAAGCUCUCUUUCUCGCCGCCGCCCCUUUUACCAACCCGGAAAUGGAUCCGCUCCCACCGUCCCCAGCGUCCGCGAACAAAAUGGAGGCGGGGGAAAAAAGGAGGAGGGAGCCGAGAGCUGAGAGCCGCGGGACGCAUGCGCCCUGGGAAGCCUGCCCUCUACCGGCGCACGUGGGGGCGGAGCGCCACCAUCUUGAGAAGGUCGCGAGCGGAGCUCCGCAGUUAGAUGCCGGAGCUGAGGACCUAACCCAGGGCCUUGCGCUUGCUAGGCAAGCGCUCUACCACUGAGCUAAAUCCCCAACCCCAUGAGUAAAGAUUUGAAAGGCAAGAAACACAGGCCAGGCAGGACCAGUGGAUGCAAAGCUUCCAGAUAUCAAACACAG
ensembl:lncRNA